UACGAAGGUGGCAAGCGUUGUUCGGAAUCACUGGGCUUAAAGAGCACGUAGGCGGGCUGCCAAGCGCUUUGUGAAAGCCCUCGGCUCAACCGAGGAAUUGCUUGGCGAACUGGCAGCCUUGAGGCAGGUAGGGGCGAGUGGAACUCUUGGUGGAGCGGUGGAAUGCGUAGAUAUCAAGAGGAACGCCGGUGGCGAAGGCGACUCGCUGGGCCUGUCCUGACGCUGAGGUGCGAAAGCUAGGGGAGCGAACGGGAUUAGAUACCCCCGUA
rnacentral:rRNA from 1 species